GAAAGCGUAAUAGCUCACUAGUCGAGUCGGCCUGCGCGGAAGAUGUAACGGGGCUCAAACUGGAUACCGAAGCUGCGGCUGCAUACUAUGUAUGCGGGGUAGGGGAGCGUUGUGUAAGUCUGUGAAGGUGUGUUGAGAAGCAUGCUGGAGAUAUCACAAGUGCGAAUGCUGACGUGAGUAACGAUAAUGGGAGUGAAAAACUCCCACGCCGAAAGACCAAGGUUUCCUGCGCAACGCUAAUCGGCGCAGGGUGAGUCGGCCCCUAAGGCGAGGCAGAAAUGCGUAGCUGAUGGGAAACGGGUUAAUAUUCCCGUACUUCUUAUAACUGCGAUGGAGAGACGGAGAAGGCUAUGCCUACCGGGCGUUGGUUGUCCCGGGGAAAGGCUGUAGGCUGAGGUGUUAGGCAAAUCCGGCACCUUAAGGCUGAGAGUCGAGACCACUGGUCCUUUGUGACCGGGAAGUGGUUGAUGCCAUGCUUCCAGGAAAAUCUUCUAAGCUUCAGGUUAUAAGGAACCGUACCCCAAACCGACACAGGUGGUUGGGAUGAGUAUUCUAAGGCGCUUGAGAGAACUCGGGUGAAGGAACUAGGCAAAGUGGUACCGUAACUUCGGGAGAAGGUACGCCGCUGAAGGUGAUGAGACUUGCUCUCUGAGCUAUCGGCGGUCGCAGUGAAAAGGCCCCUGCAACUGUUUAUUAAAAACACAGCACUCUGCAAACGCGUAAGCGGACGUAUAGGGUGUGACGCCUGCCCGGUGCCGGAAGGUUAAUUGAUGGGGUUAGCUUCGGCGAAGCUCUUGAUCGAAGCCCCGGUAAACGGCGGCCGUAACUAUAACGGUCCUAAGGUAGCGAAAUUCCUUGUCGGGUAAGUUCCGACCUGCACGAAUGGCGUAAUGAUGGGGGCGCUGUCUCCACCCGAGACUCAGUGAAAUCGAAAUCGCAGUGAAGAUGCUGUGUACCCGCGGCUAGACGGAAAGACCCCGUGAACCUUUACUAUAGCUUCACAGUGGACUUUGAACCUGUUUGUGUAGGAUAGCUGGGAGACUUUGAAGCAGUGACGCUAGUUACUGUGGAGUCGUCCUUGAAAUACCAGCCUGGCAUGUUUGAGGUUCUAACCUAGGUCCCUUAUCGGGAUCGGGGACAUUGUGUGGUGGGUAGUUUGACUGGGGCGGUCUCCUCCCAAAGAGUAACGGAGGAGCACAAAGGUACCCUCAGCACGGUCGGACAUCGUGCAACGAGCGUAAAGGUAGAAGGGUGCUUGACUGCGAGACCUACAAGUCGAGCAGGUGCGAAAGCAGGUCUUAGUGAUCCGGUGGUUCUGUAUGGAAGGGCCAUCGCUCAACGGAUAAAAGGUACU
rnacentral:rRNA from 1 species